UAGCCAAAGUGCUGUUUGCCCACCACCGCAGAGCGUUAGCCCCGCCCACACAGCACUAAUUACUGCCUAGCUGGGCUUAUCUGGAGCAAGGAAAGGCUACAGAAGUCAGAAGGCUAACUUUCUUGUAGUUAAACUUGUAACAAAGAAUGGGAAGGGGACAUCAAGCCAGCUGCCAGCCGGCUGAGGAGAACAGAGCUCAGAGCGAGAGAGCUAGAAGGGGAGGGGCUACAGAGCGGGCCAGGAACACUUUGGAAAGAGGGAGAGAAAAGUAAAAGGCCAAGUUUUUGAACUCCAUCACUUACGGUCUCAGGAAACUUGGAGAUCUCCUGUAGGUCUCUGUGCGAAGCAUUCUUCAGCUGGUUCUGUCUCGCGUGGAUGGAGUAACCAUCGUUCUGCUACUAGUUGUUGGGAACAAAAUAAGAGGGGCCCUGGGGAGCCCCUGGGGAAGAAGGGGAAGGAAAAGGGGCUAAACGUCCGGCCAGAGUUCCUGUGUUCUGGGCAGGCGGACUCAGGCAGAGCUGCUGGACACUUUUCCACUUGGCCCCAGCUGAAGAGUUCUGAAUCCACGCCGGAUCCUUCUCAACAGUCUGUGUUGCGGGAACACUUCAUUACCACCGUUCCCCAGCUGAAGAGUUCUGAAUCCAUGCCGGAUCCUUCUCAACAGUCUGUGUUGCGGGAACACUUAUGACCGUGACCCGCAGUUCUGGUUCCGGAAUGAGGGAUCUUCCUUGUGCCGGUGAUGGUAACUCCCGGUUUUCUUGUCCCGGGUUUUCUCGUCCCAGGUUUCGGCACCAACUCUUACACGCGUUCGCAACCGGCCAGGAAAGAUGCAACAAACCAGAAUCUUCUGCGGCAAAGCUUUAUUGCUUACUCAGGAGCAAGAGAGGAAGAGCACGGCAGAGAGAGGCAGAGAGGAAGAGAGAGAGAGACGCAGAGAGAGAGGCAGAGAGAGAGAGAGAGAGAGGCAGAGAGCAGAGGAAGAGAGCAGAGGAAAAGACGAAGAGAAAGAGAUGAAGAGAGGAAGAGACGAAGAGACGAAGAGAGGGAGUGCCAGAACCCCGUCCCUUUUAAGGAGAAUUAUCCUCCGCCUAGGAUGUGUCAUUCCCUGAUUGGCUGCAGCCCAUCGGCCCAGUUGUCAUCACGAGAAAGGCAGAGCACAUGGCGGGGAAAACUGCCCCUGCAUAUGUGCAGAUUAUUUACUACUUAGAACACAGCUGUCAGCGCCAUCUUGUAAUGGCAAAUGUGAAUGCGGCUCCCCACACUUCCUUAGUUAUUGUAAGUGGUUGAUUAUUCAUUGAAGAUAAUUUAUGUAUCUCUAUUUCCAGUGUGUUCAUCUACUUUCUUGUUUCAAUGAUAAGACUGAUAACUUUCAAGCUGUUUACAUGCCAGCCUCCUGUAGAAGUUAUCUUGAAUUUAUUAAUACUUGUUAUAUUUAAUACAUGUGUUUUACUUAGAAAAAAAUAUAUUUACUGAAAUGUCACAUUAGCACAGCAUUCCCAUAUCCCCAUCAUUCAUUUUCUGGUUUUCCUAAUGUCAUUAUCUUAUCUUACUUUGUUUGUUGUCUUGCUGAGACAAAAUGACCUGACAAAAACAACUUCAGGGAACUUAGUUUAAAGGUACAUCCAACUAUAUGGUGCAAAAGUGAAAUUAACAGGAGCUACAAGAAGGUGGUCACAUUCACACCCUCAAUCAGCAAGAAGGUAGCAAUGUUGCAUGAUGCUAUUCAGCUCCCUAUCUCCAUAUAUAUAGGCCAGGAUCCAAGAUAGAUAUGGGUGCUACCUACUAUAUGCAGGUCCUCCCACUUCAAUUAAUGUAAUCAAAGAAACCCUUACAGAUAUUCCCAGAUGGAUUCUUAAAUCCAUCUCAGAGGUUAUUCUACAUUCUGUCAAGUUGACAAUUAACACUGAUCAUCACAACGUGUUAUAUUUAUCAAAACUGGGAGCCCAACAUUAAUAAUGCAUUACUAUCAAAUAAACAAACUCAAUCUUUUUCAAUGGUUAACAGUUUUUUUGUUUCAGAACUCAACCAAGAGUUCAACUCAGCCAAGAACUCAACUCAGCCAGAUUUGGGUAUGGAGAGCUGUGCUCUCAGGUGUGUCAGCACGCCUGGGAGAACAGCUCUCUCCCAGUGGGAUUUGGGUAUAGACAGAUGUGACACUGGGUGAGCUCCAGGUGCAGAUGGAAACUGGAAGUAGAUAACUAUGUUUAAUUGCCGUAUCUACUCACUUUCUUUGAUCUCUCACAAUUUCUAAGUCUUUCCUCAUUUCUUAUGAUCUUGAAACUCUGAAGGAAUAUAGUUCUCAUAUCAUGUGGAAUAAUCCUUUGGAUUUGUCAUUAUUCCUGAUUAUCCUGAGAUUGUGACUGGCUUCUCUGCUUAAUAAAAUACCACAAAGUUUACAUGCCUCCAUUAAAUCAUAUCAACAGUGAAGUUAUUCAUUACCACUCAGAGGAAUACAUACCAUAUUAUUCUAUUAAAAAGUUACAAUGUUUUGUCCUCCAUACUCCAUUAUUCAAAAGAAAGUUGCUAAGAACAGCCCAGCCCAAACUCAAAGAAAGGACUGAUCAUCACCAGAAAGAGAGGUGUUACUCAUACUAACAAAUUUUUCAAUAAAAUUCUUUCUUUCUUCUUUUCUUACAUUUUAUUUUUUAUUAGAUAUUUUCUUCAUUUACAUUUCAAAUGCUAUCCAGAAAGUCCCCUAUACCUUCCUCCCCCACCCUGCUCCCCAACCUACCCAGUCCCACUUCCUUGCCCUGGCAUUCCCCUGUACUGGGGCAUAUGAUCUUCACAAGACCAAGGACAUCUUCUCUCAUUGAUGGCCAACUAGGCCAUCCUCUGUUAAAUAUGCAACUAGAGACACAAGCUUCGGGGUGGGGCGGGGGUACUGGUUAGUUCAUAUUGUUAAUUCUCCUAUAGGGUUGCCGACCCCUUUAGUUCCUUGGGUAUUUUCUGUAGCUCCUUCUUUAGGGGCCCUGUGUUCCAUCCAAUAGAUGACUAUGAGCAUCCACUUGUGUAUUUGCCAGGCACUGGCAUAAACUCACAAGAGACAGCUAUAUCAGGGUGCUUUCAGCAAAAUUUUGCUGGCAUAUGCAAUAGUGUCUGGGUUUGGUGGUUGUAUAUGUGAUGGAUCCCCGGGUGGGGCAGUCUGUGGAUGGUCCUUCCUUCAGGCUCUGCUCCAAACUUUGUCUAUGUAACUCCUUCCAUGGAUAUUUUGCUCCCCAUUCUAAGAAGGAACAAAGGAUCCACAGUUUGGUCUUCCUUCUUCUUGAAUUUCAUGUGUUUUGCAAAUUGUAUCUUAGGUAGUCUAAGGUUCUGGGUUACUGUCCACUUAUCAGUGAGUGCAUAUAUUGUGUGUUCUUUUGUGAUUGGGUUACCUCACUCAGGAUGAUAUCCUCCAGAUCCAUACAUUUGCCUAAGAAUUUCAUAAAUUCAUUGUAUUUAAUUGCUAAGUAGUACUCCAUUGUGUAAAUGUACCACAUUUUCUGUAUCCAUUCCUCUGUUGAGGGGCAUCUGGGUUCUUUCCAGCUUCUGGCUAUUAUAAAUAAGGCUGCUAUGAACAUAGUGAAACAUGUGUCCUUAUUACAAGUUGGAAAAUCUUCUGGGUAUAUGCCCAGGAAAGGUAUUGCUGGAUCUUCCAGUAGUACUAUGUCCAAUUUUCUGAGGAACUGCCAGACUGAUUUCCAGAGUGGUUGUACAAGUUUGCAAUCCCACCAGCAUGGGGGAGUGUUCCUCUUUCUCCACAUCCUCACCAGCAUCUGCUGUCACCUGAAUUUUUGAUUUUAGCCAUUCUGACUGGUGUGAAGUGGAAUCUCAGAGUUGUUUUGAUUUGCAUCUCCCUGAUGAUUAAGGAUGUUGAACAUUUUUUCAGGUGCUUCUCAGCCAUUCGGUAUUCCUUGGCUGAGAAUUCUUUGUUUAGCUUUGUACCCCAUUUUUUUAUAGGUUUAUUUGAUUUUCUUGAGUCCAGCUUCUUGAGUUCAUCAUGUAUAUUGGAUAUUAGUCCCCUAUCAGAUUUAGGAUUCUUAAAGAUCCUCUCCCAAUCUGUUAGUUACCUUUUUGUCUUAUUGACAGUGUCUUUUGCUUUACGGAAGCUUUGCAGUUUUAUGAGGUCCCAUUUGUAGAUUAUCGAUCUUACAGCACAAGCUAUUGUUGUUCUGUUCAGCAUUUUUUCCCCCUGUGCCCAUAUCUUUGAGUCUUUUCCCCACUUUCUCCUCUAUAAGUUUCAGUGUCUCUGGUUUUAUGUGGAGUUCCCUGAUCCACUUAGACUUGAGCUUUGUACAAGGAGAUAAGAAUGGAUCAAUUUGCAUUCUUCUACAUGAUAACCGCCUGUUGUGUCAGCACCAUUUGUUGAAAUGGCUGUCUUUUUUCCACUGGAUGGAUUUAGCUCCCUUGUCAAAGAUCAAGUGACCAUAGGUAUGUGGGUUCAUUUCUGGGUCUUCAAUUCUAUUCCAUUGAUUUACCUGUCUGUUGCUGUACCAGUACCAUGCAGUAUUCUAUCAUAAUUGCUCUGUAAUACAUCUUGAGGUCAGGCAUGGUGAUUCCCCCAGAUGUUCUUUUAUUGUUGAGAAUAGUUUUUGCUCUCCUAGGUUUUUCUUUUUCCAGAUGUAUCUGCAAAUUGCCUUUUCUAACUGGGUGAAGAAUUGAGUUGGAAUUUUGAUGGGGAUUGUAUUGAAUCUGUAGAUUGCUUUCAGCAAGAUAGCCAUUUUGACAAUGUUAAUCCUGUCAAUCAAUGAGCAUGGGAGUUCUUUCCAUCUCCUGAGGUCUUCUUCAAAAAGCAGACUUAUUAGAAUUACACCAGACUUCUCACCAGAGACUAUGAAAGCCAGAAGAUCCUGAACAGAUGUUAUACAGACCCUAAGAGAACACAAAUGCCAGCCCAGGCUACUAUACCCAGCAAAACUCUCAAAUUACCAUAGAUGGAGAAACCAAAGUAUUCCAUGACAAAACCAAAUUCACACAAUAUCUUUCUACAAAUCCAGCCUGUCGAAGGAUAAUAAAGGGAAAACACCAACACAAGGACAGAAAUUAUACUUCUUUAUAAUAAAGUUAACUUUGCCUUCUUUUUUAUUCACUUACAAUUUCUCUCUGACUAAGAUUACAUCUUUUAUUAUUCAUAUAUUUAUGUGUCCAGUCUUGGCAGACAUGCAACUAGUAACCCAAUAAGAGAUGUUAGCUAGAUGGUGGAAGAGAACAUAUUUGUGGACUAGUUAAAUAAAACAUGAAAUUGGUACUUAUUAUGUAAAUCAGUAUUCAGUGGAGUCAUAAAAGUUUCAUUAAGCUAUGAAAUUUAACCUUGGUUAUAUAGAUUUUGAUCAUUUCCUAUCAAAACACAUUCUGGAAGAAAAAGUUACCAGUAUUAUUUGAUUUUGUAAUAGUCACGGGCAAUAAAAAUAGGACAUAAAUACUUUAUGCUUGUCAAAAUUUAUCUAUGUAGUAUCUAAAUAUUUUUAUUAGAUUAAUUGUUAUGUGUCUCUUUUUAAAAUAUUCUUUACUAUGUUAAAAUAUAUUACAUCCUUAUCAGAAAAGUAUGGUAGAUUUUGUUAAAGGCCUUUUUUGUGUCUAUUGAGAUGAUCAUAUAAUUUCUAUGCUUGAGAUCAUUGAUUUGAUGAAUUACAUUUAUUGAUUUACAUAUGUUUAACCAUCCUUGCAUGUCUGCAGUAAUGCCAUCUUGAUCACUCUCAAGUACUUUUGAAUUUCAUCUGCCAGCGUUUUAUUUCUUUUUGAAUUAUUUCAUUGGUUAUGUGUGUCUAUGCAUGGGGGGAGGUACAUGUCUUGUGGAACUCAAAGGACAAUUUGCAAGAGUUGUUUCUCUCCUUCCACCAUGCUGAUCAAAGAGAUUGAACUAAGGUCUUUGGGCUUGGAGACACAUGCCUUUGCCUUCUGAGCAAUCUCACCUGUACUGAUUUUCAAAUAUUUUAUCAAUAAAUGUUUCAUCUGUGUUCAUUAGGGAGA